rnacentral:rRNA from 1 species
ACUCAAAGGAAUAGACGGGGGCCCGCACAAGCGGUGGAGCAUGUGGAUUAAUACGUCACUAACCGUAGAACCUUACCCAGGCUUGACAUCUGGCGGAUCCCCUCGAAACGGGGGAGUGCCCGCAAGGGAGCGCCAAGACAGGUGUUGCAUGGCUGUCGUCAGCUCGUGUCGUGAGAUGUUGGGUUAAGUCCCGCAACGAGCGCAACCCUCACCGCCUGUUGCCAGCAUUGAGUUGGGCACUCUGGCGGAACUGCCCGGGUAACCGGGAGGAAGGUGAGGACGACGUCAAGUCAGCAUGGCCCGUACGCCUGGGGCUUCACACAUGCUACAAUGGCCGGUACAGAGGGUCCCGAUACCGCGAGGUGGAGGCAAUCCCAAAAAGCCGGUCUCAGUUCGGAUCGCAGGCUGCAACUCGCCUGCGUGAAGUCGGAAUCGCUAGUAACGGCCGGUCAGCUAAACGGCCGUGAAUACGUUCCCGGGCCUUGUACACACCGCCCGU